rfam:Prevotella buccae ATCC 33574 genomic scaffold SCAFFOLD1, whole genome shotgun sequence.
AGGGAUUGACUUAGAGUCCCUUCUGCGCAGUCGUGUUAAUAGUGAUACUUUUGGCCGAGUAUCAUGGUUAGUGAAUC